UACGUAGGGUGCAAGCGUUGUCCGGAAUUAUUGGGCGUAAAGAGCUCGUAGGCGGUUUGUCGCGUCUGCCGUGAAAAUCCGGGGCUCAACCCCGGACUUGCAGUGGGUACGGGCAGACUAGAGUGUGGUAGGGGAGACUGGAAUUCCUGGUGUAGCGGUGGAAUGCGCAGAUAUCAGGAGGAACACCGAUGGCGAAGGCAGGUCUCUGGGCCACUACUGACGCUGAGAAGCGAAAGCAUGGGGAGCGAACAGG
rnacentral:rRNA from 1 species